UACGAAGGGGGCUAGCGUUGCUCGGAAUCACUGGGCGUAAAGGGUGCGUAGGCGGGUUUUUAAGUCAGAGGUGAAAUCCUGGAGCUCAACUCCAGAACUGCCUUUGAUACUGAAAGUCUUGAGUAUGGGAGAGGUGAGUGGAACUGCGAGCGUAGAGGUGAAAUUCGUAGAUAUUCGCAAGAACACCAGUGGCGAAGGCGGCUCACUGGCCCGGUACUGACGCUGAGGUGCGAAAGCGUGGGGAGCAAACAGG
rnacentral:rRNA from 1 species